UACGUAGGUGACCAGCGUUGUCCGGAUUUACUGGGCGUAAAGAGCGUGUAGGCGGCCAAGCAGGUCCGUUGUGAAAACUGGAGGCUUAACCUCCAGACGUCGACGGAAACCGCGUGGCUAGAGUCCGGAAGAGGAGAGUGGAAUUCCUGGUGUAGCGGUGAAAUGCGCAGAUAUCAGGAAGAACACCAAUGGCGAAGGCAGCUCUCUGGGACGGUACUGACGCUGAGACGCGAAAGCGUGGGGAGCGAACAGG
rnacentral:rRNA from 1 species